rnacentral:ncRNA from 1 species
ACUAAUGAAAUUACUGAUCGACCAACAACUACUACUAAUGAAAGGUGUAGCUAAGUUGGGAUUGCUUUACGGCGCAAGUGAAAGACCACUACUGCCUUCAGCACACUCGAUGAAGACCACGAGAGCGGCCGCAUUCGGGGCGGUGUUGGCGAGCUCAAGCUGCUAAGCGAGGGGUCCCACGCGCUAAGGGCGCUUCGUCGGUUUCGGCCGGCGGGGUGUUCUUCCAGGUCUCUCGCGAGGGCGAUCGAGAACAGAGUCAGUUCUGAAUUGAACUGGGGCGGUGUGCAUGAAACUCUAGCGCAGGUGCCCCAAGGCCAGCUUCAGAAGGGGGAGAAACCCUUGGUAGAGCGAAAGGGCAAAUGCUGGCUUGAGGAUGCUUUUCAGUAGGAGGGAUCCGUGUGAAAGCAAGGCUUAUCGAUCUUUUUGUGUCGCCCUUAGGGCGACAAUGGGAGAGUUUUUACUGCUUUCCGCAAGAGGUAUCAGAAAAGUUACCACAGGGAUAACUGACUUGUGGCAGCCAAGCGUUCUUAGCGAGGUUGCUUUUUGAUUCUUCGAUGUCAUUGCGAAGCAGAAUUAGCCAAGCGUUGGAUUGUUCACCCUCCAACAGAGAACGUGAGCUGCGGAUACGAGCGCAUAGGACUGACUAGU